CUAGAUCCAUACGUAUAGGAUUUUGUGCCGUCGAUUUCCGCGGCCUCCUCGCCGCAAACCAGCUGCCCCUGGCGAAAAUGCAGUCGUCGGCUGUGCCAUUCCCACCGCGUCCUAGAAUCACCGCCACAUCCCUCAAACCUAGAUCCUGCCUCCUCGUCCAUCCCCUCUCUCGUUCCAGUGGCAGACGCUCUCUUCUUCUCCGGCUUCGCUCCCCUCUGAAGCGUCUCCUCGUGGCUACCGCAAGCAAAUCGCCGCCUCCCCCUGUAUCGUCUGAAUCGGAUCGGCAAUCGAAGCCUUCAGAUGCGGAGGCCAGUAGUAACUUACUCCAAGAGAACCAAGGCUCCGAUCUUGGUUGGUUACCGGCUUUCCCUCACGUGCUCACGGCCUCGAUGGCUAAUUUCCUCUUCGGUUACCACAUUGGGGUGAUGAAUGGACCUAUUGAAGCUAUAGCUCAUGAGCUUGGUUUUGAAGGAAAUUCUUUUCUUGAAGGACUCGUUGUUAGCAUAUUCAUAGCUGGUGCAUUUAUUGGAAGCUUAGGUGUUGCUUCCCUAGUUGAUAAGUUUGGUUCUCGGCGCACUUUUCAGCUUGACACAAUACCACUGAUUCUUGGUGCACUUUUAAGUGCACAAGCACAUACUAUGAAUGAGAUGCUAUGGGGAAGAUUUCUUGUGGGCCUUGGGAUUGGAGCAAAUACUGUCCUUGUGCCACUUUAUAUAUCAGAGGUUUCUCCAACAAAAUAUAGGGGGUCACUAGGAAGUCUUUGUCAAAUUGGUACUUGUCUUGGAAUAAUUGCAUCACUUGCAUUAGGGAUUCCUUCUGAAAGUGAUUCACAUUGGUGGCGAGUAUUAUUUUAUAUAGCCUGUACCCCUGGUUUAAUUCUCAUUUUAGGCAUGCAAUUUGCUGUUGAGAGUCCCCGCUGGCUGUACAAGGUUGGAAGAGUAGAUGAGGCUAAGCAAGUUAUUGGAACAGUUUGGGGAGAAUCAGAAGUUGAAAAGUCUAUAGAGGAGAUUCGGAAUGUGAUUAUAGAUGAUACCAACAUUCAUAAAACUAGCUGGUUGGAGCUUUUUAUGGAACCCCACAAUAAAGUUGCUUUUAUUGGAGGAUCUCUUUUCAUACUUCAACAAUUUGCUGGAAUAAAUGGAGUGCUUUACUUCUCAUCCUUGACCUUCCGAGAUGUGGGCAUUACUAGCAGUGCAUUGGCUAGCUUAUUUGUGGGACUCACCAACUUUGCAGGGGCAUUAUUUGCUUUGACCCUUAUGGAUAAGCAAGGGAGGAGGAGGCUUCUAAUAGGAAGCUACCUGGGGAUGGCACUUUCAAUGUUUCUCAUUGUUUAUGCUAUUAAUGAUCCAUUGGAUGAAGGAUCCAAUCACAUACUCUCAAUUCUUGGCACGUUGAUGUACAUGUUCACAUUUGCUCUAGGAGCUGGGCCAGUUACUGGUAUAAUUAUUCCAGAGCUUAGUUCUGCACAAACACGUUCAAAAGUAAUGGGCUUUAGCUUCUCAGUACACUGGGUUUGCAACUUCUUAGUGGGGUUAUAUUUCUUGGAACUCGUCGACAAGUUCGGUGUGGGGCCUGUCUAUGGAUCUUUUGGCGCGGUUUCCUUGAUAUCGGCAAUAUUUGCAGCCUAUUUCAUAGUUGAAACAAAAGGACGCUCCCUGGAGGAAAUAGAAAUGUCAAUGAAUGCUAGAUUACCAGCUAAAGAUAAAUGAUCGAAUCUAGUUUCGCUUAUCCACUGAGCCAGCACGAGUAUCUGAAUCCAAAACUGACAGCAUUGUGGGAUUCAUCGCGUGCGGUGUUCGGGAUCCACGCAUGAUUUUUUGACUGACCCGGUGACCCCUGCGUUUUGCAAGUUGCAAUCUCUCCAAUUGGAUCUCGUGAUGCUAAUAACCACUGUAAGUGUAACCAUGACUUUAUUAUUUGGUAGUCUCCUCGGGGCGAUGCGAUGGUUAAGAUAUGGGGUGUUGUCAUAUAAAGUUUUGGGGUCAAAAUUUGAUGUGACCGAGUAUAACCUCCUCCAUGUUUUAGCCAUUUGUACUAAUGGCUAGUAGUCACCCGUCAUUUAUCUUCUAGGGACGGAUUGACGGGGACGAGCGAGCGAAUCGUCUUUUGCCACAUGAUUUUAUUAUUUGAUAGAUAAAUAAUAAAAAAAAUGUGGCAUGUCGAAGAUAAAGGUGGAAUAACAUGUUGCCCUCACAUGGAACCCACGCAUUAUUUGGCUAUGGUGUUUGGUGACCAUCGCGUCAUUUCCCCACCACAGCCACUCACUUAUUUAACAUCAAUUAUAUACAUUUUAUUUAGCUUCAUAUAACAAUGUCACCAAUAAAACAUCAUUCUAUUCUAUGAUACUUUACCUUUAGACUAUAAUAAUUGAUAAAACAAUUGUCUUAAUAAUUUAUAAUUAUUUUAAUUGAAUUAUCUUAAAAUCCUAAUUCAUUCAAUUCAAUUUGGCCUUGAAUUCUAAUUUUAAAUUAGUUAAAUAAAUUGAUUCCAAAAGCAUUACCUAUAAUUUAAGUGCCCCAGGCUAGUGUAGUAAAAGUACAUAAGUUAUUAUUUAGAUAUUCAUGAUUCAAUUUUUAAUUACAAUAUAGUAUUUAUAGAGAUUUUUUCACUAAUUAUGGUGCUCAACCAUUAGAUGCUGACCUUCUAAAUUAUUUGAUAGGAGUUUUUUUUUUAAUUUAUCUUAAUAGUUGAAAGAAAUUUUAAAUAUGAUGCUCAAUUAUUAGAUACUGAC